rnacentral:rRNA from 1 species
UGUGUGUUAGUGGAAGCGUCUGGAAAGGCGCGCGAUACAGGGUGACAGCCCCGUACACAAAAAUGCACAUGCUGUGAGCUCGAUGAGUAGGGCGGGACACGUGGUAUCCUGUCUGAAUAUGGGGGGACCAUCCUCCAAGGCUAAAUACUCCUGACUGACCGAUAGUGAACCAGUACCGUGAGGGAAAGGCGAAAAGAACCCCGGCGAGGGGAGUGAAAAAGAACCUGAAACCGUGUACGUACAAGCAGUGGGAGCACGCUUAGGCGUGUGACUGCGUACCUUUUGUAUAAUGGGUCAGCGACUUAUAUUCUGUAGCAAGGUUAACCGAAUAGGGGAGCCGAAGGGAAACCGAGUCUUAACUGGGCGUUAAGUUGCAGGGUAUAGACCCGAAACCCGGUGAUCUAGCCAUGGGCAGGUUGAAGGUUGGGUAACACUAACUGGAGGACCGAACCGACUAAUGUUGAAAAAUUAGCGGAUGACUUGUGGCUGGGGGUGAAAGGCCAAUCAAACCGGGAGAUAGCUGGUUCUCCCCGAAAGCUAUUUAGGUAGCGCCUCGUGAAUUCAUCUCCGGGGGUAGAGCACUGUUUCGGCAAGGGGGUCAUCCCGACUUACCAACCCGAUGCAAACUGCGAAUACCGGAGAAUGUUAUCACGGGAGACACACGGCGGGUGCUAACGUCCGUCGUGAAGAGGGAAACAACCCAGACCGCCAGCUAAGGUCCCAAAGUCAUGGUUAAGUGGGAAACGAUGUGGGAAGGCCCAGACAGCCAGGAUGUUGGCUUAGAAGCAGCCAUCAUUUAAAGAAAGCGUAAUAGCUCACUGGUCGAGU